GCCAGCAUGGCAUAGUGGUUUGAGUGCUGGACUACAACUCUGGAGACCAGGGUUCAAUUCCCAGCUCAGCCA